rnacentral:tRNA from 1 species
CGUUCUGUGGCGAAGUUGGUUAACGCACCCUGUUUAGCUAACAUGGGGGACGUGGGUUCAGUUCCCAUAAGAACUA